CGAACUUGGAGAGGCGGUGUCCCUAGACUGCUCAGCAGUCACAGAUUGUCACGGAGCCCCUGGAUGUCUGAGGACCCCAGGCCUGAACUUUCCUUGAGGAAGACUGAUUUCUCUCAGUCUAACUUUGCUCAGUUUGGUGCUGGGCCUCCGACAUUACCCAGCUACAGUCCAAGAAGCUCUUAUCAUCGGCAACCUCAUGACCUUUGGGUUUCAGCGCAGGUCCCCGCUGAUCGGAAAGCUCUUUCUUCUCGCAAUGCUGUCAAGUCCCAUUCUCAAGGGUCCUCCCGGCUCAUUUCCCCGGAGAACAACCGCUUCCUCUUCCUCACUCCCCGUCUCAGUGCCUUUAGCCAGUCUAAAUAUAUGCCCAAGAGGCAUUUCUCAUUUCUUCAAAUAUUGUUUGUAUUUACUGAUUACCUAGUAGGUGGAUUCUAGUCAGGGAGAUCAAUAAUAGACAUGCAAACAAAU